rnacentral:rRNA from 1 species
GCACAACGCGAAGAACCUUACCUAGGCUUGACAUGCAUCUCUAAGCACGUGAAAGCGUGUGACCCUUCGGGGAAUUUUGCACAGGUGCUGCAUGGCCGUCGUCAGCUCGUGUCGUGAGAUGUUGGGUUAAGUCCCGCAACGAGCGCAACCCUUGUGACUAGUUGCCAGCACGUUAUGGUGGGAACUCUAGUCAGACUGCCCAGAUCAACUGGGAGGAAGGUGGGGACGACGUCAGGUCAGUAUGGCCCUUACGCCUAGGGCUGCACACGUACUACAAUGCCCAGCACAAUGAGAACCGAGACCGCGAGGUGGAGGAAUCUAAAAAACUGGGCCCAGUUCGGAUUGGAGGCUGCAACUCGCCUCCAUGAAGUUGGAAUCGCUAGUAAUGGCGCAUCAUCUACGGCGCCGUGAAUACGUUCCCGGGUCUUGUACACACCG